GAACGCUGGCGGCAUGCCUUACACAUGCAAGUCGAAACGGGCAGGCACGGGAGCAAUCCUGGUGGCGAGUGGCGAACGGGUGAGUAAUAUAUCGGAACGUGCCCGGUCGUGGGGGAUAACGUAGCGAAAGCUACGCUAAUACCGCAUACGAUCUAUGGAUGAAAGCGGGGGAUCGCAAGACCUCGCGCGAUUGGAGCGGCCGAUAUCAGAUUAGGUAGUUGGUGAGGUAAAGGCUCACCAAGCCGACGAUCUGUAGCUGGUCUGAGAGGACGACCAGCCACACUGGGACUGAGACACGGCCCAGACUCCUACGGGAGGCAGCAGUGGGGAAUUUUGGACAAUGGGCGCAAGCCUGAUCCAGCAAUGCCGCGUGCAGGAUGAAGGCCUUCGGGUUGUAAACUGCUUUUGUACGGAACGAAACGGUGAGCUCUAAUACAGUUUGCUAAUGACGGUACCGUAAGAAUAAGCACCGGCUAACUACGUG
rnacentral:rRNA from 1 species